UGACGUCAGACGCAAAGCGCCGGGCCUACCGCUGGAGCGUGGGGAACAAGUCCAAUUCCGUUUGGAGGCAUCUUUGAGCUCGCCGAGUAGACAUCAUGAGCAAAGCUCACCCUCCCGAGUUGAAGAAAUUUAUGGACAAGAAGUUAUCAUUGAAAUUAAAUGGUGGCAGACAUGUCCAAGGAAUAUUGCGGGGAUUUGAUCCCUUUAUGAAUCUUGUGAUAGAUGAAUGUGUGGAGAUGGCAACUAGUGGACAACAGAACAAUAUUGGGAUGGUGCUCCAUUUUAGGUUUGUAUUCUUUAUUAGACAGUUGUGCCCUUUCAAGAGACUGAAAAAGCCUGAGCAACACUUUGCCAAAACUUAGUAUUGAAGCCCAACAAAAGGAGCAACAUGGAAUUCUGGACCUGAUGGUUCCAGUUUGAUUUGGAGAAUGGGGCCUCGAACACAGUGGGAAAAGAGGUAGAGCACUGCAAAGCAAAGGUGUUCACAAUGAACCUUAAUUCCUGUGGAUUAUGUGAGAAGGCAAAGAAGUAAUACGAGGAAAUAGUAUCAUCAUGUUAGAAGCCUUAGAACGAGUAUGAAAAAUGGCUGUGUUCACCAGAGAAAUCAACUGCUUCCACGGGUCCCUCCUCCAUAUUUUACUGCGAUAAAAAUUGGGUCGUA